CGCAUUACAGUUAACUAUGUAGAUUGUGCUACAUAUGACUGUACAAGGUAAUGGGAUAUGUACAGGUUAUUUGGUUUGAUAAAGAUUACGAUGUUAAUGCAGAUGAAGACGGAAGAUUGAACUAAGAUCAUGCCUUCAGGGUGAUACGUAUUUUUUUUGUUAAUGUUUAUGUUUCUAUCAUAAUUUGUAUAUUAUCCUGCUUAUCUUCAACCUUAUCCAAUAAGUUUAUUUUCAAUUGUCUCAUCAUUCUUAAUUUUGUUGCUGUUUUUUUCACUCAAAUGUAUUUUUUUUAAUUGUACUUUGUGGCUCUGAUUAGAGCUGAAUAAGUGAUUCAAGUUUACUAUCACCAUCAGCACCAUUAUAUCAUCAUCAACAUCGUGUUAUUUCAUUACUAUUGGAUUCUUCCGGUUGGCUAAAGAGAAAUGGGAUCAAAAUUUGAAUCUUUUCACAUGAUUUGUCUUUCAAUUUAUUUGGUUGAUACUGGCUGGUCCAUUUUAGGACAGUUAACAGGCCUGUAAAUCGGUGUGAUAACAGUGGACAAGCUCAACUACAUGUAUAAAGAGCAAUGUUUACCCUCAGCUCUAUGGACUUGUUUGGGUCAAGCCAAUUUAAGUCAGCUGCCUUUGUUAACCAUAACGAGGACUGUUAUUAAGUUAUUGUCAGCUGAAAAAUGUAAUAAAUUUAUCAUGGUUUAACUUAAUCUCAAGCACUUACAAGCAAUUAUCUACUCGUUUAUAUCACCUUUUCCCAUAGCAUUGAAUCGUAUCUUUCAUUCCUUCGCAUCUGGUAACUUAACUUCAAUGAGAUUCACUGGAUAUAUUCAUAUUGAUAUCGUACUGCUUAAAUGGUGUUAAAGCUGAAGAUUUGAAACGGACUGCCAUUGGAUGCUUUAUUGCUGUUUAAUAGUUCAAGUAAAGAUCAUUGAACCUGAAUCAAGACACAACAUCAUAGAGAUUAAAAUCUUAUCACAUUGACGGUGAUCCAUCUUGUACUCUGUAAUUUUCAAUUCAUUUAGAAUGAUUUAUGGCGAAAACAAGGGAAAUACCGGAGAAAUGUGUCCAAAUUUUAUCGAUAAAAUAUGGAUUAAAUAAAUCAUGGAAAUAUGACAGUCAAAUUGGCCAAUGAUUCCAAGUUUUAUAUGAAAUUAAUCUCAAGUACAUCCUGGUUUACAGUUCUAUUAAACAUCGUUAGACGGCGCUUUCAUUUGUUUAUUUAUCUGUAAACAAAAUUGACAGUCAAAAAAUUUCAAAAUUCAGUUAUUUUUAAUUGCCAUCCAAUAAUGUCGAUGUAAUUUUUUCAAAAUUAACUAUUUAAAAAAAUAGAACAUCUUCGGGCCGUAAUAGCUCAUAAACUGCGAGAAACAGUUCCCUGAUGAUUCAAGAUUAUACAAGUAUCAUUAAUCCAAGGGAUGGCAAACAAUCAAUUAUAAUUUACCAUGGAUCCUGGAAAAACAAGAAAAGUGACACCAAGAGCCAGUUCAAACAGAGAAAAGGCUAAUCUUCCUGUUAAAAAUCUGAUCAAGAAUGGUGUGAUCGACAGACAAAAGGUGUAUUAUAUCCUAAAGAAUCCUGAAGAGCCCAAAUGCAAGGUUACUAUUUCUGCUUUAUUAAAGCAGUAUAAUGAACAUAAAAGGAAAGCGCUGAAUGUCUCAAGAAAUACCCAUUUCGAUGGCUCUAUCGUCAAGAAUUUGGAUUUACUCAUUGAAGGUGAUGUCGAAUUUCACCAAUUACCCCAAGAAUUUCGUCAAAAUCUGUUUCUAGAGAAUCUAACUGGUCAUGGAGCAAACAGCUGUUCCUCUGUCUCAUCUUCCUCUAACUCUAGCCCAUCUACAGUGACUUUGGUUGAUGAUUCAAGUUCAGAUGAAAGUGUCGAAAUAAUUGAAUAAUGAUAAUUACCAAAGGAUAUGGAUUUGCGAGACUUUGUGAGGAUUUGUCAUGGGACCUUGACUGAGACGAGCUGAUCCUCAUAAGAUCGAGAUUCCGUCUCAUCACAGUUUGCAGAAAUAUUAUAAGGAAUGACCGGUAAAGUUUGUUAAUAAGACUAUGAAACUCUCUCAUGACUCUUAGAAAGGAAAUUGUGUCGAUAAUCUAAUUUUUCACGUUUAAAUCGUGUAAUCGACUCAGAGGUCUAUCUGAUUACCAAAUCAAGAAAAGAUUUAAAUUCAUCAAGAAACAGAUACAUUUGAACAAUUUAAAUUCAGAGCAAAUCAUUUCAAGAUUUCUCUGACCAGAUGGCGAUUGAAGCAAAGAGCAUAACUCUUACAUUGCUGUUACUCUUUGGAUUGGAGCCACUAUUUCAAAGAGGUGAUUGUAAUUUUGUACAAUUAAGGAAUUAAUUGGACAAAUGAAUAUCUGAAUCCAUUUAAUAUUCUUCAACUAAAAUCCCUCUGAAAGUUCCAAUCUUAUUUGAUAGAGUAAUUGCAUAAAGAAAGUUGCCAAAUUAAGAUUUCAAUAUGUUGCAUGGGAAGAGAAAAAAAUUUGAUUUGUUCUAUCUUGUGGUAUCUUUUGUGAAUAAUAAGAAAAAGUCCAAGCAGAAGUCCAAGACUUUUAAUCAUUCAGAUCAUCAAAUAAUCAUUCAGACACAAAAACAAAAUUAACCUUUCAAACUCAUGAAUUAAAUCGAUUCAGAAAUUAUCAACAAACUUUACCGGUCAUACCUUAUCACCUACAUUUGGUUAAUCCUCUUCAAUAUAAUUUGGAAAUUAUUCUGAAGCAUUUUUGUACCUACCAUGUUGGACACAGAACUACUGAAGGCUACAGUCACGUUAUGCCAAUGCUUAAGCAAAGUUCAUGCUGAAUUUUGCGUCGUUAAUUUAAUUUUCAAAUUUUAAGUUUAUUUUGAAGAUGAAAAGUGAUUGUCCUGUUAUUAUUUCGUUUACUUUCCAAAUAUCUAUCAAUAAUUUAACCAGUACAAAUUAAUAUUUAUUGAAUAUCUUUUUUGUCAAGUUUUUAUGAAUUCUGACGCAUUGUCUCAUAUCUGAUGAAAAUUUAAACAACUGUUUGAAUAAAAUUUAUCACCUCACAUUGAA